rnacentral:rRNA from 1 species
AGAUGGCGACCGGCGCACGGGUGAGUAACACGUAUCCAACCUGCCGAUAACUCGGGGAUAGCCUUUCGAAAGAAAGAUUAAUACCCGAUGGUAUAAUCAGACCGCAUGGUCUUGUUAUUAAAGAAUUUCGGUUAUCGAUGGGGAUGCGUUCCAUUAGGCAGUUGGUGAGGUAACGGCUCACCAAACCUUCGAUGGAUAGGGGUUCUGAGAGGAAGGUCCCCCCACAUUGGAACUGAGACACGGUCCAA